UGGGGAAUAUUGGACAAUGGGCGAAAGCCUGAUCCAGCAAUGCCGCGUGAGUGAUGAAGGCCUUAGGGUUGUAAAGCUCUUUUACCAGGGAUGAUAAUGACAGUACCUGGGGAAUAAGCUCCGGCUAACUCCGUGCCAGCAGCCGCGGUAAUACGGAGGGAGCUAGCGUUGUUCGGAAUUACUGGGCGUAAAGCGCGCGUAGGCGGUUUAUCAAGUCAGGGGUGAAAUCCCGGGGCUCAACCCCGGAACUGCCCUUGAAACUGGUUCACUAGAAUCCUGGAGAGGCGAGUGGAAUUCCGAGUGUAGAGGUGAAAUUCGUAGAUAUUCGGAAGAACACCAGUGGCGAAGGCGACUCGCUGGACAGGUAUUGACGCUGAGGUGCGAAAGCGUGGGGAGCAAACA
rnacentral:rRNA from 1 species